GGGGUGGGGUGGGGAGCAGAGAGAGGGUGUCACGGGGCCACAGGAGCCCUUCACGUCACAGACCUCUGAUCUUCACAUACUAGGUAAAUAGUAUAUACACAUAAACACAUUUUAAUAUAAUACAUGCAUAAAAAAAGAGAAAAUAGCAUGACCCAAUUUACAUACCACCAGAUUUUAAAUCUUUAUAUUUUGCUAAAGUUAUUUUAGGCUCACAGCCCACUGCUUUGAAUCUGUGGGUAUUCUUAUAAAGCGGAUCAUGGUGUGAUAUCCAUAUAUUUUCAAUUUACCUAAAGGUACUGUGUUAUGCAUCCCAUCCUUCCUUCACUCCUCAGUGCUGUUUGUAAGAUCCAUCCGUGUGGCCACCUGUAUACAACCAACCUUUGCUUCUAACUGCCACCUGCACUCUGGGGUGGGAUCGAACACUUCUACUGACCCCUUCUUCCAGGAAGGAACAUUGAUGCUGCCUCUAACCACCAUGGGUAUGAAUGAUGGCAUCUACCUAUGUCCCCUGAGAGGCCUGUGUGAGGGUUUCUUUGGGGCGUACCCCCAGAGCAGCAUUGACGGCCCCAGUGCCGACUUACCCUGACUGGUUGCAUUGGGCCAUCUUCCACUGUGCGGUCAGGAGACCCCACCUCACCACGCUGGGCCUCAGCCAGCCUCCAAAUGACACUGGUCUCAGUUCCUUCUCAGCCAACCACUUGAAGUGCCUAUGGUCCAGGACAUCAGAAGCCAAAAAGAAAAAAUUGCAAAAGAGCUUCUCUCCUAGGGGCGCCUGGGUGGCUCAGUCAGUUAAGCGUCUGACUUUGGCUCAGGUCAUAAGGUCACAGCCAGUGAGUUCCGGUCCUGCAUCGGGCUCUAUGCUGACAACUCCGAGCCUGGAGCCUGCUUCAGACUCUGUGUCUCCCUCUCUCUCUGCUCCUCCCCCACUCACGCUCUCUCUCUGUCUCUCAAAGAUGAAUAAAUGUGAAAAAAAAAAUUAAAAAAAAAAAAAAAGAGCUUCUCUCCUGGUAACAUGAUCUCUUUUCCCAGAUUUGGAAGACAGAAGCAAAGGAGAGUCACAAAAGCCAGUUUUGUCACCCUGAGUCCUGCUAACUAGCUGACAGCCUCUGGCACACACUGAUCUGGGGAUGCAGAGGAGGCCACAAGAGUGCCCAGGAGCCUGAAGAUGGAACAGAGAAAAUGGAGAAACCAGAGUAUGCAGGGUAGAGCUUGAUCAGUAGUUAAGGUUGGUUUGAUUUUCACUUUUACAGUUAUCUGUUUUCAAAUGCUCUGAAAAUAUGUUCUAGGAACAUUUAUAGCCAUUGUGGCUUCUUGACACUGUGGUGUUCAGAAUAAUCCCAAGUGCCUCUGCCAGCUGAGAGACACACACACAACUAUGGGACAAAACAGAGUAGUAAUUUGAGCAAAAAGCCCAAACCAGGAGCUCUGAAAUGGCAACCUACCAUUUGUUUAGAAUUUAUAAGCUGCAAGCUAAGUUAGUCUUGAGUCCCACCUUAACUUCAUACCUCUCACCACCUGUGCAUAAUCUUGUUCUACAGAUCCUGUUUUCUCAACUAUCAAUCUACCCCUCAUAAAAUCGGCAUCAUCAGUUAACACAAAACCCAGGGUGUGGCUUUCAGACCCAAAGUCCCUACUCUGAUCUGUGAGUAUCCACAUGAUUCGGCUCCUGCCUACUUCUAAUGACUUCAUCCCUUACCACAUCCCUGUGACUUGCUACACUUGACCCAUACGAACAGGUGCACUUCAAUCUUAGGAAGCUCACACUAGAGGUCCCUUGGUUUGGAACAUUCCUGCCCUACUCCUUCCUGCCCCUGCUAUUUUCUCAUAGCUGCUUCUUCCCUACCAUUGAGAUUUCAACUUAAAUGUCAUCUAUGCAUUGAGGACUCUGAGCAGAAAGUAAAGUAGGCUCUCAGUCACUUUAUUAUGUCAUCUUGUUUUACUUUCCUCACAGUAGUUAUUAUUGUGUUCAUUGAACUGUUGCCUGCCUCCUCAAUUAGAAUGCAACCUCCAUGAGGGUAUGGAUCCUGACUGUCUUGUCAAUUUGGUAUUCCCAAUGCCUACAGUGAUGCUGGUACAUAAAAAGAUGAUUUAAACAAGUUUGAGCUGAGGUUUCCUGGCCAUGACCUUGUCAUUGCCAUGAGUUAAAGAGGACAGUAGGGUACAUGUACCAGCCAGUUCCACUGGAGACAGAGUUCAACAUAAUGACCUAUACUGGAAAAACCAGCCCUCAUGCAACUCACUGGAUCCCCUGCUGCUAGGGGCACUUUAUAGAUCAGAAUCUGGUACCUGCAUGUGAGAAAGUACUGCAUUUUUUAGCAGGUACAAUCUAGAACCACUAUAUACUUGAAGGUCUUCCCCCUGAUCUCCAGGCAAACUCCAAAAUAUUUCUCUAAUUUGAAAAAGAGGCUAUGAAGGACAGCUGGAGUUGUGAGAUUAAAGUGCUUAUUAAAUGCAUUUUAAAAAACUCCCAUGGGAAAAACUACUGAUAGAUACUUUUUCAUUACCUAUGACCCUCUUCCUUGCUAGAAGUGCAUAUAAGACAUGCUGUCUACUAGGCAAUACCCUAAAGACAUACACUUGCUGAGCCAAGGUAGGAAAUUAUGCAUUAAACUACUGAUAUGAUUAGGUAGUAACUUGACCAAAUAUUUCUACUAUCUCUGUUGACUACAGAAUAAUACUCAAAAGUGUUAGUUUUAGGAAAUACAAUUCCUUAGUUAAUUGGGAAUAUGAAUUCUUGGCAAUCUGGAAUUGCAAGAAAUGAAUUUGUCUCUUGGUUAUUGUCCUUGUCUCACUGGGAACACUCCUAAAAUGGGCAAUUUCUACAUUGUGGAUGUUCUACAAGUCUGAACUCAGAAACCGAUCUUUAUUUAGGAAAACAAAAACAGUGUUUUGAGAGGAAGAGGUCUGGUGGGAUAUCGCCACAAGAGAGGCGGGUUAGCUCAGUAGACUGUUUCAGAGUUAGAAAAGGACAAAAUUCAGAUGAAAAGGAUGAAAUGUUUAGUCCAGUCUCUUUAAAAAACACAGCACAGCAUAGCUUUAUUAGUAUGAUGUAUAAUCUCAAAUUGUCUAGAGAAACUAAUUCUAGCAAAGCUGCUUCUUAGUUUUUUCCCACCAUGAAAAGCAUUGUUGUUUAUUUUGAAGCAUUUGAAAAAUACAUAAGCUACUGAUAUCCAGAAAGCACCAUAAAAUAACAUUGUUUAAAGAGCUUAAAACAAAAUACAAGAGAGCACACAAAGACCAUAUUUGUGAAAUGCUACAUCCAACCCCCCACAGGUUUCACACAGGAUAAGUCUUGGCAUAACACCGGCAGCUGUGAAAAUAUAAAAAUUAUAUAAAAUGGGCAUUCUCGUCUGGAAAAAUAUUUAACUGAUCAUAUAGGGAAUGUUUUUAGUCUCCUGACUGGAAAAUAUUUGGAUCUGAUAGAGAGAUACUCCUUACUAGACUGUAGUCAAAGCUUCACUCAAAGAGAAAUUCCUAGUCAACGUCACCACCCUUCUGCUGUUGGGGCUGCCUGCCAAAGGUGCAGAUGUCUGUCAUCUGAAAAGAAGAAGUUUAUUUAGAAAAGCGUUCUUAUCCUCUCUCUUUAGAAGACACUGAUUCACAUUAUCAAAAAUAGCUUGGUACACUGUGCACAUCUGUGCACAUGUGGUGUUAUUUACUUUGGUAAAAUAAACUACAAGAGUAGGAAACAGAACAAGUCUUCCAACCCUUGCCAAUUAAAAAAAAAGUACACUUUCUGUUUUGUACUUUUUAAUGUGGGGUUUUGAUUUUAAGGUAGGAGAUUUGAUAUCCUGCCUAUAAUCUAGGGAAAGCUCUGUAGUAUCUCUGUGAACUGAAAUCUAUCAGCAAUAGACCACAGAGGAAAAAUUUAGUAUCACUAGCCACUAAAAGUAACCACAUCUUAGAUUGUUGAAAUUUUCUUUUCUUUUCUUUUCUUUUCUUUCUUUCUUUCUUCUUUUUUUUGGAGGGGGCGCUGGGCGAUUGGUAAAGUUGGGAAGGGGAGGAGACCUUAAUCCCCAAGAGAGAGCAAAAAGUGCCUGAGACUUUUUCAGCUUCUAAAGUACAGGUCAAAAUCUUUCCAGGGUGAAACCUGACUUUCCACAAGUAAAAGAAUUAUACUACAAAUAAAACUCAAUGAAAUAAGCAAAAACACAAAAUGAUAAGCCAACAAAAAACACAGAUUUCCACAAGAAAUCAUUCCCAUGCAACAGCCAUAGAGCUCAAGCCUAGAAAGUCACUUACUUUUCUCCGAGUGUCACCCGGAGGCUGCUCUGGAGUAGAGAAAUUGAUUGUUGGCAUUUUGUUUUUUAGCAGAAGACACAUCCACAUUCAGAACAGCAAUUAUUACACUUAGAACUACAUUUAUUAAUAGAAACCACCUAAGAGUCAUUAUAGUAAAAAGUGUCCGCAGUGCUAUAUAUAAACACAUACAUGUACGUACACACACACACACACACACACACACAGAGUAAAAACACUACACAUAGAUGGGGUUUUCAACAUGAAUCUAUGGCUCUUGAAAACAUGGCAAGGCUACUAUUCUAUGGGUAUUCUUCUGAGUAUAACUCAACUGCUAUAAUCCCAGUCUUACAUUUACUUUCCAUCAGCACAAUGUUAGUUUCAAUAGGCUGGUUUCAGAGUCUUAUACUGUGAACAAAAAAUUCAUUAUAAAGUUAUAGAGAUGGCCGGCUAUUUCCCAGAGAGUGCAGAGGCUAGAAAACAGGCUUUAAAAAAAAAAAAAGGCAAAAAAGGUUUUAGCAGCAACAUGUACAUGUGAGACCAUAACCCAAUUAGAUUCACCAGACACAUACAUUCUAUUCUGAAUACAAAUAAAGCAAGGGCUUUCUGGGCCUCUGCUACCCUUGGUGAAAAUAAAGCAAAGGGCAACUGAAAUAACAUUCUGCUCUUAAAUCAGACAAAUUCUGUAUCUGUCCUUUUUAUUUUCUCCAUUCUAUAAAAGUGAAAAAAAUCAUCAAAGUAGAUUUUUAACUGGAAAGUACUGGAAUGAUCACACAUCUCCAAAUAUCUUAAAUUAAAAAUCAGAGCAUCCAACUGUAUUGUUGAAGGAGAUUGGCUGCACAGUAAAUUAGCCUCAAUUUGUCAAAAUAAGAUUUUUUUUUUUUUUUGCCUUGGACAUCAGUUUUCUGGUACACAAAGGCAGGUGAAGUUGCUUAAGACAGUCUGUUAAAGGUACAAAACCAAGUGAAUAGAUUAAAGGAAAUCAAGCCCAGUCUCACAGAGUAGAAGGCAAAUUCCAGGUUGUAUAAAAUUUGAUAAUAUA